rnacentral:misc_RNA from 1 species
GUUGCAUCUUAACCUGGAAAACUCGAUGUUUUUCAUUUGAGGUAUCUCGUGUUAGUCAGUGGUUAUUUGGAAUUAUGCCUAAUGCAGUAUUCUGUUUGAUGCUGCUAAGACACACAGUACUCAGUAAUAGAAAUUACUUGUAUUAUCCAGUAUUCUCUUUGAACCAAUAAUAUAAAUUUCAUUUACAAGUGAAAAUGAAAUUUAUAUUAUUGGUUCAAAGAGAAUACUGGAUAAUACAAGUAAUU